GUGAGUACGCGUGGGAACAUACCCUUUCCUGCGGAAUAGCUCCGGGAAACUGGAAUUAAUACCGCAUACGCCCUACGGGGGAAAGAUUUAUCGGGGAAGGAUUGGCCCGCGUUGGAUUAGCUAGUUGGUGGGGUAAAGGCCUACCAAGGCGACGAUCCAUAGCUGGUCUGAGAGGAUGAUCAGCCACAUUGGGACUGAGACACGGCCCAAACUCCUACGGGAGGCAGCAGUGGGGAAUAUUGGACAAUGGGCGCAAGCCUGAUCCAGCCAUGCCGCGUGAGUGAUGAAGGCCUUAGGGUUGUAAAGCUCUUUCACCGGAGAAGAUAAUGACGGUAUCCGGAGAAGAAGCCCCGGCUAACUUCGUGCCAGCAGCCGCGGUAAUACGAAGGGGGCUAGCGUUGUUCGGAAUUACUGGGCGUAAAGCGCACGUAGGCGGAUAUUUAAGUCAGGGGUGAAAUCCCAGAGCUCAACUCUGGAACUGCCUUUGAUACUGGGUAUCUUGAGUAUGGAAGAGGUAAGUGGAAUUCCGAGUGUAGAGGUGAAAUUCGUAGAUAUUCGGAGGAACACCAGUGGCGAAGGCGGCUUACUG
rnacentral:rRNA from 1 species